rnacentral:rRNA from 1 species
AUGGAGUUCCUGAUGCAACCUAUAGACGGAUCUAACUCCCUGGAGGAAGUUGGGGAGAGUUUGGUGCCGGCACCGGAGCGGGCGGAUGCGGUCGAUGUGAAGAUGGUGGCGGCGCAGGUGACGGAAGGACAUCAGUUGGCGGUUGAGGUUCCGCCGGCAGCUACAGGGGAGGCGCAGAUGUUGAUGCUCAGUGAAGGAGCGAAGGAGAGGAGGGACGUGUCUCCACCAAGCUCGGAGCUAUCUACUGGGAAGAUGAACCCACGAGCUCCUGGAUGGAAUAAGAGGUUGAGGAUCGGUGCCGCUGCACCAAGUCGGCCGCCUUGCCCAAACCGUGUCACUGCAUUUGAGAAGGUUGUUCGAAACUAUGCUGAGAAUCCAGGAGACAAUGUGAUCACACCGACUAUUGGCACGACCUUUGAUUCUGUAGGAGAGGCGUAUGACUUUUACAAUUUGUAUUCAUGGGAAAAGGGGUUUGGUAUCAGAUAUGGCAAGAGUCGGCUAAAUGUAGAGAGGAUUAAAUGCAUGCAAGAAAUCGUCUGUGGUUGCUCGGGAAAAGCUGGGGUUGAGAAUACAAGAUCUUGCCGCUGCGAAUGCCAAGCUUUAAUAAGGCUCCUACGGGCAGAAGAUAAUGGAUGGUAUAUUGCAUAG